GAGGCUUUAGCUUAAUUAAAGUAUCUGUUUUGCAUACAGAAGAUGUGGGUUAAAACCCCGUAAGUUUUG
rnacentral:tRNA from 1 species